UGAGCUUCGUGAUGAGUCUGGAAUAUGGACAAUUUCUAUUACUUCAAAAUACUGAAGAUGAUACCUCAAUUAUAUUUGUGGAAUAUUCUUUAUCAGCCUUUGACAAAUUUUGUAAAUUAUUUUAGUAAUUGCCAUGGGAUAUGUAUCUGUUAUUAGCUUGUAUUUUUGCUUUUGAAUAUUUACCUCUAUUCAGCUUAAUCUGUUUAUAGAUUUGUUAGAUGUUUAUGUAUGUAAGAGUGACUAUUAUAUUAGGCCUAUUAUUAUUAUUAUUAUUUAUUAUUAUUAUUAUUAUUAUUAUUAUUAUUAUUUUUAUCAUUAUUAUUAUUAUUAUUAUUAUUAUUAUUAUUAUUAUUAUUAUUAUUAUUAUUAUUAUUUGUUUUUCCAUUAUGUUGAAUUGUUCACCAGUAAAUGCCAAGUCAAUAAACGAGUGCAUGUUUUGUUAGUAUACCUUAUGUUAUAAUUGUUAUUUUCCAUUUAAUUAAAUUAGAUAUAUGCUUAAAUUGUGCACAGUGCACACUAAGAGCAGACAAGAUGGACAGAAAUUAUCUUGAUAAAAUCAUUCAAUAAAACUUUGAAAAGAAGUACAAUGGGCUUAAUCCUUGAAAAGAAGCCCAUCUCGAUAUACUUUGAUUUUCUUUAAAAAAUAUCGGUGUUUUUUUUUCUUUUAUUAAACAAAAUUUACCGUAAAAUGAUUCAAAAUGUGUUCAAUGGUCCUAUUGUUUUAUAAUAGCAAUUCCCAAUACCUGCUAAUACUUACAACAAUCAUUUUGAAACGAAGACCUCCUCUUUAGCUCGGGAUUGUGAUCAGAGCUUUCAACCUUCGCUGUGAAUUUCACUUGCGUACUGGGACAAUCCGCAUCAAGGACUUGUACAUUAUUCAUCUCCACCCAGAAGUAUAAGUCGGUACUUGAUUAUAACGCAACAAAAGCAGUCAGCUACGAAUUGUUUGAUCAUGACGUUUAACUGUACAGUUGCUUGGCUUGACCAAAGACUUUUACUGUACAGUUAACAGUAUUUGGUUUGUCGAUUACAAUUCAUCACAUUUGUUAGACCUGGAAGUAUUCAGCAAAGAAACAUCCACGAAUAUUUGAAUGGCAAGUACCAUACGUAUUAUUUUACUUAAUAAUAUUUAAUAAUAAUAGUAAUAUUUAAUACUAUUAUUGUUUAUUGUUAUUAUUUUAUGAUUAUGAUUAUUAUUAUUACUAUUAUUAAUAACAAUUAAUUUUAAUGUUAUACAUAAAAACGUGUUUAUAUAAAAUUAUAAACAGUAUUCACGAAAAUAAGUAUAUAGUUUACACGCUCGUGUAUACUGUACUUACUGUAAUCAUCAUUUUAAAAGUAGGCUAUUUAAAUAUUUGUCGAAAACUGUUGGUAGAUUAUGAAUAUUUAUAUUGAGGCUAUUCUAUAUGGUAUGGUCGCUCCUCGAUAUGAAAAUCGUUGUUUUUGUAGUAAAUAUGUGACAGAGGAAUUAACAGAUUGGUGUCGCUCCGUCUAAAAUUAUAAAUAAAAUUAUUGUAUGUAAA